UGCCAUAUUGUUAGGAGGUAUCAUACGUCCCAUGAUUCCAGCGUUGUACUGUGGCUGAGGAGGUCUAUAUGGCUGCUGAGUUUGCUGACCGCAGUUCUGAUUGCCCUGUCUCUAGACUCCAUAGUUUGACACAUAGUUCAUGUCUUUUGGGUGUUGAUGAUGAUGAUCAUGUUAUGCAUUCCAAGGAUUAACAACUGGCUG
rnacentral:lncRNA from 1 species